rnacentral:rRNA from 1 species
UUCCCAUGCCGAACACAGAAGUUAAGCUUCUUAGCGCCGAGGGUAGUGAAGGGUUUCCCUUUGUGAGAGUAGGACGUCGCCAUGC